UACAGAGGUCCCAAGCGUUGUUCGGAUUCACUGGGCGUAAAGGGUGCGUAGGUGGUCAGGUAAGUCGGAUGUGAAAUCUCCGAGCUCAACUCGGAAACUGCAUUGGAAACUACCUGGCUCGAGGGUUGGAGGGGGGACUGGAAUGCUUGGUGUAGCAGUGAAAUGCGUAGAUAUCAAGCGGAACACCAGUGGCGAAGGCGAGUCCCUGGACAACUCCUGACACUGAUGCGCGAAAGCGUGGGGAGCGAUCCGG
rnacentral:rRNA from 1 species